rnacentral:rRNA from 1 species
GAUGAACGCUGGCGGCGUGCCUAAUACAUGCAAGUCGAGCGAACGGACGAGAAGCUUGCUUCUCUGAUGUUAGCGGCGGACGGGUGAGUAACACGUGGAUAACCUACCUAUAAGACUGGGAUAACUUCGGGAAACCGGAGCUAAUACCGGAUGAUAUUUUGAACCGCAUGGUUCAAAAGUGAAAGACGGUCUUGCUGUCACUUAUAGAUGGAUCCGCGCUGCAUUAGCUAGUUGGUAAGGUAACGGCUUACCAAGGCAACGAUGCAUAGCCGACCUGAGAGGGUGACGGGACAAACGGGACCGGAGACCCGUCCCAGACCACGAGGGGAGGCACAAGGAGGGAUUUUUCCGAAAGGGGAGAAACCGGAGCGGAGCAGCGCGGGGUGAGUGAUGAGGGUUUUGGGACCUUAAAACUUUUUUAUGAGGGAAAAACAUAUGUGUAAGUAAUUGUGCACAUCUGGAGGUAACCUAACAAGAAGGCCAGGGCAACCUAGGGC